GAGUGCUGUGGGCAUUCACCCCUGUGUCAGUUUGCUGAGUACAGAAAGGUCCCCUAGUGGGUGACAUUGUGUUGCUGACUGGUGCUGAACCAUGAAUACUGUCUGAGAUGGAGGCUUCUCUCUGGUUUAGAGGGUGCUGCUCAGGUCCGGGAGCAGCUCCCAGAGUCAUGGUGACAAGUGGACAAGAACUUCUGUGCAGGAUGAUUUACCGGUGUCCUUAUUGGCAUCUGAAGAAGGACAAGGAAAGGAAGAAAAUCGCUAGAAUCCAAGCCAGAUGUCUUCUCCAGCCCCU
rnacentral:lncRNA from 1 species